UACGUAGGGCGCAAGCGUUGUCCGGAAUUAUUGGGCGUAAAGAGCUCGUAGGCGGCUUGUCACGUCGGGUGUGAAAGCCCGGGGCUUAACCCCGGGUCUGCAUUCGAUACGGGCAGGCUAGAGUGUGGUAGGGGAGAUCGAAUUCCUGGUGUAGCGGUGAAAUGCGCAGAUAUCAGGAGGAACACCGGUGGCGAAGGCGGUUCUCUGGCAUGUCCUGACGCUGAGGAGCGAAAGUGUGGGGAGCGAACAGG
rnacentral:rRNA from 1 species